AGUGAACGCUGGCGGUAGGCCUAACACAUGCAAGUCGAACGGCAGCACAGUAAGAGCUUGCUCUUACGGGUGGCGAGUGGCGGACGGGUGAGGAAUACAUCGGAAUCUACUUUUUCGUGGGGGAUAACGUAGGGAAACUUACGCUAAUACCGCAUACGACCUACGGGUGAAAGCAGGGGAUCUUCGGACCUUGCGCGAUUGAAUGAGCCGAUGUCGGAUUAGCUAGUUGGCGGGGUAAAGGCCCACCAAGGCGACGAUCCGUAGCUGGUCUGAGAGGAUGAUCAGCCACACUGGAACUGAGACACGGUCCAGACUCCUACGGGAGGCAGCAGUGGGGAAUAUUGGACAAAGGGCGCAAGCCUGAUCCAGCCAUACCUCGUGGGUGAAGAAGGCCUUCGGGUUGUAAAGCCCUUUUGUUGGGAAAGAAAAGCAGCAGGUUAAUACCCCGCUGUUCUGACGGUACCCAAAGAAUAAGCACCGGCUAACUUCGUG
rnacentral:rRNA from 1 species